rnacentral:rRNA from 1 species
AACGAACGCUGGCGGCAUGCCUAACACAUGCAAGUCGAACGAGACCUUCGGGUCUAGUGGCGCACGGGUGCGUAACGCGUGGGAACCUGCCCUUAGGUUCGGAAUAACUCCCCGAAAGGGGUGCUAAUACCGGAUAAUGUCUUCGGACCAAAGAUUUAUCGCCUUUGGAUGGGCCCGCGUUGGAUUAGCUAGUUGGUAGGGUAAAAGCCUACCAAGGCGACGAUCCAUAGCUGGUCUGAGAGGAUGAUCAGCCACACUGGGACUGAGACACAGCCCAGACUCCUACGGGGGGCAGCAGUGGGGAAUAUUGGACAAUGGGCGAAAGCCUGAUCCAGCAAUGCCGCGUGAGUGAUGAAGGCCUUAGGGUUGUAAAGCUCUUUUAACCGGGAUGAUAAUGACAGUACCGGGAGAAUAAGCUCCGGCUAACUCCGUG